rnacentral:rRNA from 1 species
GACGGAGGGUGCAAACGUUGCUCGGAAUCACUGGGCAUAAAGCGCACGUAGGCGGUUGCCUAAGUUGGAUGUGAAAUCCCGUGGCUCAACCAUGGAACUGCAUCCGAUACUGGGCGACUCGAGGAAGGUUGGGGUGAGUGGAACUCCAGGUGGAGCGGUGAAAUGCGUAGAUAUCUGGAGGAACACCGGUGGCGAAAGCGGCUCACUGGACCUUUACUGACGCUGAGGUGCGAAAGCUAGGGGAGCAAACGGGAUUAGAUACCCCGGUAGUCCUAGCUGUAAACGAUGGGCACUAGGUAAGGGGCCUCCUAUGGGCUCCUUGCCGUAGCUAAUGUGUUAAGUGCCCCGCCUGGGGAGUACGCUCGCAAGGGUA